rnacentral:rRNA from 1 species
AUUGAACGCUGGCGGCAGGCUUAACACAUGCAAGUCGAGCGGAGAUGAGGUGCUUGCACCUUAUCUUAGCGGCGGACGGGUGAGUAAUGCUUAGGAAUCUGCCUAUUAGUGGGGGACAACAUUCCGAAAGGAAUGCUAAUACCGCAUACGCCCUACGGGGGAAAGCAGGGGAUCUUCGGACCUUGCGCUAAUAGAUGAGCCUAAGUCGGAUUAGCUAGUUGGUGGGGUAAAGGCCUACCAAGGCGACGAUCUGUAGCGGGUCUGAGUGGAUGAGCCGCCACACUGGGAAUGAGACACGGCCCAGACUCCUACGGGAGGCAGCAGUGGGGAAUAUUGGACAAUGUGCGGAAGCCUGAUCCAGCCAUGCCGCGUGUGUGAAGAAGGCCUUUUGGUUGUAAAGCACUUUAAGCGAGGAGGAGGCUACCUGGAUUAAUACUCUAGGAUAGUGGACGUUACUCGCAGAAUAAGCACCGGCUAACUCUGUGCCAGCCGCCGCCGUAACAC